rnacentral:lncRNA from 1 species
AAAAAAUGAAAUACAGUGCAAAAAAAUGAAAUACAGUGCAAAAAAAUGAAAUACAGUGCAAAAAAUGAAAUACAGUGCAAAAAAAUGAAAUACAGUGCAAAAAAUGAAAUACAGUGCAAAAAAAUGAAAUACAGUGCAAAAAAAUGAAAUACAGUGCAAAAAAAUGAAAUACACUGCAAAAAAUGAAAUACAGUGCAAAAAAAUGAAAUACAGUGCAAAAAAAUGAAAUACAGUGCAAAAAAAUGAAAUACAGUGCAAAAUGAGAAAGUAUUGGGGACAACAAUCGGUCUCUCCCCUCCUCCUGUUUGAUGAUGAUGUACUGUAUACAGCUAUAGUGCCAAAUUUUUAAUAGGCCAUAUCCAAAAUACGGCCGAAUACCCACAAAUACCGCAAUACUAAUAGCCUGAGAACGGGGC